UAGCACCAUCCCUAUGGUGACAUUAAAGGCACCGGCUCAGCAAGACCCCGUCUACACCUCCAUCGACAAAGGGAAACAGCCGCAGACCCUGGAGCCCAACCCCGGUGCUGAUGGACUCAUCUACGCUGAGCUGGAUGGCCAGGCGCUCCAGGCCAAGCAGGGGGGCCCGGCCCCUGCCCCUGAGCCCGCCGAGUCCAGCAUGUACGCCGUGAUCAAUGUGAACCGGGGGCCCCCGCAGUGAGAGCCCCCUGCAGCCAUGGGGCGCCGGCCCCCAGGGGGCAACAGACUCACCCCCCUGCAACACCAGCCGUGAGAACUCUGCUUUCAGGGAAGAUUUAGGGGGGACGCUGCCCUCCCGCCCGCUGCAUCCCCAUCCCAUCGAGCUCCUGUCCCCCUGCCCUGCCCAGACCCACAUGUAGGGGCCGGUGUGGGGGGCUCAGCACUGGGAGGGGGAGCGGAGGGGAUGCGCCGAGGCGGCUGUUUGUUAUUUUGCAUCCUGUUAAUCUCCAGAUUUGUAAUAAACACAGAACCACAAACCA
rnacentral:lncRNA from 1 species